UACGUAUGUGGCGAGCGUUAUUCGGAAUCACUGGGCGUAAAGGGUACGUAGGCUGGCUAAUAAGUCAGAGGUGAAAGUUCGGGGCUCAACCCCGGAUCUGCCUUUGAAACUGUUAGUCUUGAAUAUGCGAGGGGAAGACGGAAUUUCUGGUGUAGCGGUGGAAUGCGUAGAUAUCAGAAAGAACACCGGUGGCGAAGGCGGUCUUCUGGCGCAAUAUUGACGCUGAGGUACGAAAGCGUGGGGAGCGAACAGG
rnacentral:rRNA from 1 species